GCCCUACGGGGUGCAGCAGGCGCGAAAACUUUACAAUGCUGGCAACAGCGAUAAGGGAACCUCGAGUGCCAGGUUACAAAUCUGGCUGUCGAGAUGCCUAAAAAGCAUUUCAUAGCAAGGGCCGGGCAAGACCGGUGCCAGCCGCCGCGGUAACACCGGCGGCUCGAGUGGUAACCGUUAUUAUUGGGUCUAAAGGGUCUGUAGCCGGCCGGAUAAGUCUCUUGAGAAAUCUGGCAGCUUAACCGUCAGGCUUUCAGGAGAUACUGUCUGGCUCGAGGCCGGGAGAGGUGAGAGGUACUUCAGGGGUAGGGGUGAAAUCUUGUAAUCCUUGAAGGACCACCAGUGGCGAAGGCGCCUCACCAGAACGGACCCGACGGCAAGGGACGAAAGCUAGGGGCACGAACCGGAUUAGAUACCCGGGUAGUCCUAGCCGUAAACGAUACUCGCUAGGUGUCGGCCACGGUGCGACCGUUGUCGGUGCCGUAGGGAAGCCGUGAAGCGAGCCACCUGGGAAGUACGGCCGCAAGGCUGAAACUUAAAGGAAUUGGCGGGGGAGCACCACAACGGGUGGAGCUUGCGGUUUAAUUGGAUUCAACGCCGGAAAUCUUAC
rnacentral:rRNA from 1 species